rnacentral:rRNA from 1 species
ACGCUGGCGGCGUGCUUAACACAUGCAAGUCGAACGAUGAAGCCUAGCUUGCUAGGUGGAUUAGUGGCGAACGGGUGAGUAAUACGUGAGUAACCUACCUUUAACUCUGGGAUAAGCCUGGGAAACUGGGUCUAAUACCGGAUACGACCAAUCUCCGCAUGGGGUGUUUGUGGAAAGCGUUAUGUAGUGGUUAUAGAUGGGCUCACGGCCUAUCAGCUUGUUGGUGAGGUAACGGCUCACCAAGGCGACGACGGGUAGCCGGCCUGAGAGGGUGACCGGCCACACUGGGACUGAGACACGGCCCAGACUCCUACGGGAGGCAGCAGUGGGGAAUAUUGCACAAUGGGCGCAAGCCUGAUGCAGCGACGCCGCGUGAGGGAUGACGGCCUUCGGGUUGUAAACCUCUGUUAGCAGGGAAGAAGAGAAAUUGACGGUACCUGCAGAGAAAGCGCCGGCUAACUACGUGCCAGCAGCCGCGGUAAUACGUAGGGCGCGAGCGUUGUCCGGAAUUAUUGGGCGUAAAGAGCUUGUAGGCGGUUUGUCGCGUCUGCUGUGAAAGGCCGGGGCUUAACCCCGUGUAUUGCAGUGGGUACGGGCAGACUAGAGUGCAGUAGGGGAGACUGGAACUCCUGGUGUAGCGGUGGAAUGCGCAGAUAUCAGGAAGAACACCGAUGGCGAAGGCGGGUCUCUGGGCUGUAACUGACGCUGAGAAGCGAAAGCAUGGGGAGCGAACAGGAUUAGAUACCCUGGUAGUCCAUGCCGUAAACGUUGGGCACUAGGUGUGGGGGACAUUCCACGUUUUCCGCGCCGUAGCUAACGCAUUAAGUGCCCCGCCUGGGGAGUACGGCCGCAAGGCUAAAACUCAAAGAAAUUGACGGGGGCCCGCACAAGCGGCGGAGCAUGCGGAUUAAUUCGAUGCAACGCG